GGUCAAGCUACUAAGGGCACACGGUGGAUGCCUUGGCGCCGAGAGGCGAUGAAGGGCGUGGGUAGCUGCGAAAAGCCCCGGUUAGCCGCAACCAGGCUUUGACCCGGGGAUUCCCGAAUGGAGAAAUCCAUCGGAGGUAUGCUCCGAUAUCUGCAUCUGAAUGCAUAGGGUGCAGAAGCGAACGGAGGGAAGUGACACAUCCCAGUACCUCCAGGAAAAGAAAACAAGUCGUGACUCCCCAAGUAGCGGCGAGCGAAAGGGGAAUAGCCUAAACCGACUGCGCGUGAUAGCCCGUCAGCGUUGCGUAGUCGGUGUAGAGGGAGCGUGCCGGAGAGCGUGACGGAGCUCUCGGGAAGUUACAAAGGUCUCUGUUAGACGAAGAAGUCUGGAAAGUCUCACCAUAGAGGGUGAUAGUCCCGUAGUCGAAAACAGUGGACCCUUCCUGGGCGCGUUUCCCAAGUAGAGCGGGACUCGUGAAAUCCCGCUUGAAUCCGGGAUGCUCACAUUCCAAGGCUAAGUACUACUCGGCGACCGAUAGCGCAAUAGUAAGGCGACUGAAAGGUGAAAAGAACCCCUGUAGGGGAGUGAAAAGGACCUGAAACCGUGUGCUUACAUACAGUCAAAGCCCUAUGCCGUUAGGGGGCAACUCCUAACGGAAUGGGUGAUGGCGUACCUUUUGCAUAAUGGGCCGGGGACUUACUGUAUACGGCAAGGUUAAGCACCUCUGGUGCGUAGCCGUAGCGAAAGCGAGUCCUAAAUGGGCGUUUUCCCGUAAGGGAUAGUCGUAUGCAGUAGACGCGAAGCCAUGCGAUCUAACCGUGAGCAGGCUGAAGCGCGGGUAAAACCGCGUGGAGGGCCGAACCCGUUGUUGAUGAAAAAACAUGGGAUGACUUGCGGUUAGGAGUAAAAGGCUUAUCAAGCAUGGAGAUAUCUCGUUCUCCCCGAAAUGCCUUUCAGGGCAGCCUCGAGCUAACUACAUCGUGGGGGUAGAGAUACUGAAUAGGUUCGGGGAGCCAAAAGCUUACCCAUCCUAACCAAACUCCGAAUACCACGAUGACUAUCUCGGGAGUGAGUCUCUGGGGGAUAAUCUCCAGUGGCGAGAGGAGAAGAGUCCAGACCGUCGGAUAAGGUUCCGGACAGCAGGCUAAGUGACAAAGGAAGUGAGACUGCUAAGACAGCUGGGAUGUUGGCUUGGAAGCAGCCAUCAUUUAAAAAGUGCGUAACAGCUUACCAGCCGAGCAGUUUUGCGCCGAUGAUAAUCGGAACUCAAGCCUGCGACCGAAGCCGCGGGUUUGAAGGAGGUCGACUCCUUCAAGCGGUAGGGGAGCGUUCCACGCAGCGUCGAAGGUGGACUGAAAGGACCGCUGGAGCGCGUGGAAGUGAGAAUCCCGGCAUAAGUAGCGAGAAGACAGGUGAGAAGCCUGUCCACCGUAAGCCUAAGGUUUCCUGGGGAAGGUAAAUCCGCCCAGGGUUAGCCGGCACCUAAGUCGAGGCUGAAAGGCGUAGACGAUGGAGAGCAGGUUAAUAUUCCUGCGCCACCCUUAGACCGUUGAACCAAGGGGGGACGCAGCCAGUAGGACUGGCGGAGCGCUGAUAGCCUCCGUUGCCUGCAUCGGGAGUUGCCGUUGGCAAAUCCGCGGCAAAAAAACUCUGGAUGUGGGUUAAGUCCGUUUUUGUGACGAUGCAGUUCGAAACGCUGCCGAGAAAAGCCUCGUGGGGAGGUCUUUGGGUGACCGUACCAAAACCAACACAGGUAGGCGGGGAGAAUAUCCUAAGGUGCUCGGGAGAACCAUCCAGAAGGAACUCGGCAAAAUCGCCCCGUAACUUCGGGAGAAGGGGUGCUCCAUUAGCGUGUAGGGGCUCGCCUCCGAAGCGCGAAGGAGCCACAGCAAAGAGGGCCUGGCAACUGUUUACUAAAAACACAGGUCUCUGCAAACUCCUAAAGAGGAGGUAUAGGGACCGACGCGUGCCCGCUGCCGGUAGGUUAAGGGGAUGGGUUAACCAGAUGCCGCAAGGUGUCUGGUGAAGCUUUGAACCGAAGCCCCGGUGAAGGGCGGCCGUAACUAUAACGGUCCUAAGGUAGCGAAGUUCCUUGUCAGGUAAGUUCUGACGCGCAUGAAUCGCGUAAUGACUGGGCCGCUGUCUCCUGGAUGGACCCGGCGAAGUUGUAGUGGCCGUGAGAAUGCGGCUUUCCCGCGCCAGGACGGAAAGACCCCGUGGACCUUUACUGCAGCUUACUAUUGGGUUUUGGCUUAACAUGUGUAGGAUAGGUGGGAGGCGAUGAAGCGGGGGCGCCAGCUCCCGCAGAGCCACCGGUGAAAUACCACCCUUGUUAGGUUAGGAUUCUAACCUGACUCCGUUCAUCCGGUGCAGGGACAGUGGUAAGUAGGCAGUUUGGCUGGGGCGGCCUCCUCCUAAAAGGUAACGGAGGAGCCCAAAGGUGCCCUCAGCACGGUUGGCAAUCGUGCGUAGAGUGCAAAGGCAUAAGGGCGCCUGACUGUGAGGCGGACGCGCCGAGCAGACGCGAAAGCGGGGCUUAGUGAUCCGGCGGUCGCUCGUGAUAGCGCCGUCGCUCAACGGAUAAAAGGUACCCCGGGGAUAACAGGCUGAUCGCUCCCAAGAGUCCACAUCGACGGAGCGGUUUGGCACCUCGAUGUCGGCCCGUCACAUCCUGGGGCUGAAAGAGGUCCCAAGGGUCCGGCUGUUCGCCGGUUAAUAGUGGCACGCGAGCUGGGUUUAGACCGUCGUGAGACAGGUCGGUCCUUAUCCGGCGUGGGCGUAGGAUACUUGAAGGGGGUCUGCCAUUAGUACGAGAGGACUUUGGUGGACAGACCUACGGUGUACCGGUUGUCGCGUCAGUGGCAGCGCCGGGUAGCCGUGUCUGGUCGUGAUAACCGCUGAAAGCAUCUAAGCGGGAAGCACUCCCCAAGAUGAGGUAUCCCUGCAGGCUCCUGGAAGACUACCAGGUUGAUAGGCGGCAGGUGUAAGCGGGGUGACCCGUUUAGCUGAGCCGUACUAAUGUCCGAACGGCUUGACCGCAGUUUUCU
rnacentral:rRNA from 1 species